rnacentral:sRNA from 1 species
AACGGUACUUGUUUAUCUCCGCCGUUUCGUUGGAUUUCUUGUAUCUCUUCCGUAACGUCGUGCGCAAUAGCAAUCUCCUUUUCCACGCUAUAGUUGCCGUCAUGGCUUUUACAAGAUUCAUCAAGGAUACACAUUAUGUCUAAUACUGUUACUGGUACAGUUAAAUGGUUCAACGAAACUAAAGGAUUCGGUUUCAUCAAACAAGAAAACGGUCCAGACGUUUUCGCUCACUUCUCAGCAAUCGAAGGUGACGGUUUCCGUACUCUUGCUGAAGGUCAAAAAGUUGAGUUCGUUAUCACUCAAGGCCAAAAAGGCCCUCAAGCUGAACACAUCAAAGCUGUUUAACUUGUAGCUAAAUAAGAAUUACAAUAGCCAGCACAUUUGCUGGCUAUUUUUA